UUUUUGAAUAAAAACAAAAACAUAAACUAACACGCAUUAUUGGUUACAUUAUACAUUUACAUGAUACAAAAUUAUAUAGUUUGUAUAUAAACAUAUAAAACAUUGAAUAAACUUAUAUAUAUAUAUAUAUGUUAGUAUGUAUGUACUGAUGUGUGUGAUAACAGCUAACUCCCAUUUAAACUAAUUUAUACAUUGCAAAGACUAUGUACAUGACACAAAUUUACUAAUAAAUAAAACUGAUCAAUCUUUUAGCAUAUAAUACUUAAACAAGGAUUAACAUAUGCAACAACCGUAAUAUAUAAUAAAAACAAUACAACAGUCAUAACCGUUAUUGUAUAAGUUUUUUUUUUUUUUUUUUUUUUUUUUUUUUUUUUUUUUUCCUACCUGUUUGAAUAAGUACAUAAGGAAGGAAUGUCGCAAAACAUAUUAAAUGAAGAAACUGUAAAAGUUGAUUUAUCCAAAAUAGAAAAUGAUUUACCGGAAAAUGAAGAUUUAAGUGAUGAUGAAAUAAAAACACAAAACAGCAAUGAAAAAAAAAAAAAAAAAAAAGUACAAUUUUCAGAUAAAAAUGAAACAAUAUAUUAUGAAAAAGAUGAGAGUGAAAAUAGUUAUUUUCAUCUUACUUUAAAUAAUUUUAAUUAUUUUGAAUACUAUUUUAAUGAAAUGUAUAACUACGAUACUAAAGAAAAUGAUAAAAAUGAUAAACUAAUAGAAAAUAAUUAUAAUGAUGAUGAGUAUGAUGGUGACUCCAGUACAUAUGUUGGUGGAGGUAUAUAUAGCAAUAGUAUAUAUAGCAAUAGUACAUAUAACAAUGGUACAUAUAACAAUGGUACAUAUAACAAUGGUACAUAUAACAAUGGUACAUAUAGCAUUGAUGCAUGUAGUGAUGACACAGAAAAUGGUAGCCACAAUAUUAGUAGUAAUGACUAUACUGAUACUAAUCAGGUGUUUAAAACGAAAGGGUUAUCACAAAUGGGGACAUAUGACCAAGAAAAUAAUAAAGAAGAAGAAAACAAAAAUAACAAUAAUAAUAAUAAUAAUAAUAACAGCAAGGGUAACAAUAUUAAUAACAAAAAAGAUUCAAUAUUUUUAGAAAAUAAAAAAAAGAAAAAAAUGAACUUUAAUCAAAAAUUUAAUGAAGACUGUUCUUUUGAAAUUAAUGACAUACAAUCAGCUAUAAUGAAUGCAGAAGAAAAAACAACAAAUUAUAAUAAAGAUUAUUUUGGCUAUGACAUAGAACCAUUUAAUAUGAAAAAUGAGCUAACAGAAGGAUACAUUGAUAAAUAUGGUAAUUACGUUUAUACUGAAUAUGAUAAUGAUAGUUAUUAUGAUGAAGAAUGGUUGAAAUCGAUAGAUGAGAAAGAUCCGCUUUCUACAUUUGUAGAUAAUAAUUUAAAAAAUAAAAUACGUAAUAAAAAGAUGGCUAGUGCUAAUAGUAAUAAUGGAUAUACUGUUGAUGACUUUUCACUAUCUGUUAAUAUAUAUGAUGCUUUAUACUCUGUAUUUUGUCUUUUAAUAGAUAAAGAAACGCCUAUUAAGGCUAUGAUUAGAUAUAAAAAUGAUGUUAAAAUAUGUAAAGAUUAUUUGAAUGAGUGUAAACACAACCUAGAUGUGUUUAAUUUGAGUUUUAAUGGAAAUGUUAAUGCUGUUUCUGACAACAGUACGACUACUAAUGACAUGUGUAUUUUUGAUAAACGCACUGAUGAUAGUUUUUCACAUGAUACCCUAGAAACAACAACUAAAAAGAAUGUAGUACAUGUUAACAUAAAUAAAAACAUGUUCUCACAUACAGAAAGCGAACAGUCUGUUGUAAGUGUCACCGAUUUAAAGAAUAAACAUGUGCAACAAGAAGAUAAUGAUAUAAAAAAUAAAAAAAACGUAACAACUAUGGAUAUUGAUAUAGAGGGUAAACAAAAUGUUAAAAAGAAUUACUCGGGUGAGGAUAAUAUACUCGAUGACGCUAAUCAAAUGGGUAAAAUUAUUACAGAACAAAUGGAAGUACAUGAAAAAAGGAUGGACAUGGAAAAGAUAGAUAAAGAAAACUUAACAGACGAAUCGGUUGACUUAUUUNNNNNNNNNNNNNNNNNNNNNNNNNNNNNNNNNNNNNNNNNNNNNNNNNNNNNNNNNNNNNNNNNNNNNNNNNNNNNNNNNNNNNNNNNNNNNNNNNNNNAUAAAGAAACGCCUAUUAAGGCUAUGAUUAGAUACAAAAAUGAUGUUAAAAUUUGUAAGGAUUAUUUAAAUGAAUGUAAACAUAAUUUAGAUGUGUUUAGUUUGAGUUUUAAUGGAACUGUUAAUACUGUUUCUGACAAUAAUACGACUACUGGAGAUACGUGUAUCUUCGACAAACGCACCGAUGAUAACUUCACACAUGAUCCCCUAGAAACAACAAUUAAAAAAAAUAUAGUACAUGUAAACAUAAAUAAAAAAAAAAUGUUCUCACAUACAGAAAGCGAACAGUCUACUGUAAGUGUCAACGAUGUAAAGAAUGAAAAUGUACAACAAGAAGAUAAUGAUAUAAAAAAUAAAAAAAAUGUAACUACUAUGGGUACCGAUAUAGAGGAUAAACAAAAUAUUAAAAAGAAUCACUCGGAUGAGGAUAAUGUACUUGAUGAUACUAAUAAAAUGGGGAAAGUUAUUACAGAGCAAAUGGAAGUACAUGAAAAACGGAUGGAUAAAGAAGAAAUAGGUAAAGAAAAUUUAACAGAAGAAUCGGUUGACUUAAUCAAACAAAAAUUAACAAACGAAAGGGGAGAAUCUUGCAUGCAAACACAGAUACAACUUAAUGAAUAUUCAGUAUUGAAUGAAUCAAAUAAAAACAACAAAAUAACAGUGAGUGAUAAUAAUGAUGAUAAUGCCAAAUUAAACGAAAUAAGAAAAUUAGAAGAGUUAUAUCAGAGAGCAAAUUUUGAUUAUAAAACAACAGAAAGGCGUUUUAAUAAUCUCAUAGAUUUAACA
ensembl:lncRNA